rfam:Macrostomum lignano uti_cns_0005334, whole genome shotgun sequence.
UAUUCCGGCUAUUCGUUUGCAGGUUACUCGUGGCCUGAGUGGUAGAAGCAAAGCUACUGCUAGUCACUAUUUGUGGCGACACCUUCAAAUUGCGUGAAAGCCGUCAUACAGCUUCAAGUACCACUUCAAUUGAGAAAUCUUUUAAAGGAACAGAGGUAACUCUCUUCCCACUGGUAAAAAGCUUGAAGACAAGGUGGCAAUGCGCAGCCAAGCUCCUAAGUUGAUAAUUCAGUAUGGAGAAGGUUCAGAGAGCAGACGGAAGUGGAUGGUAAUUUAGCUACUUAAGGUGUGCUCCAGCCUCUAUCGAAAGACAGAG